rnacentral:rRNA from 1 species
AGAGUUUGAUCAUGGCUCAGGAUGAACGCUAGCUACAGGCUUAACACAUGCAAGUCGAGGGGCAGCAUGUUGGUUGCUUGCAACCAACGAUGGCGACCGGCGCACGGGUGAGUAACGCGUAUCCAACCUACCCUUGUCCAUCGGAUAACCCGUCGAAAGCGGCCUAACACGAUAUGCGGUUCACAGCAGGCAUCUAACGUGAACGAAAUGUAAAGGGGAAGAUGGGGAUGCGUCUGAUUAGCUUGUUGGCGGGUAACGGCCACCAAGGCGACGAUCAGUAGGGGUUCUGAGAGGAAGGUCCCCCACAUUGGAACUGAGACACGGUCCAAACUCCUACGGGAGGCA